rnacentral:rRNA from 1 species
GGAGUUAGCCGGUGCUUCUUCUGUGAGUGAUGUCCUUCCUGCCGGCUAUUAACCCGCAGGCCUUCUUCCUCACUGAAAGUGCUUUACAACCCGAAGGCCUUCUUCACACACGCGGCAUGGCUGGAUCAGGGUUGCCCCCAUUGUCCAAUAUUCCCCACUGCUGCCUCCCGUAGGAGUCUGGGCCGUGUCUCAGUCCCAGUGUGGCUGAUCAUCCUCUCAGACCAGCUACGGAUCGUCGCCUUGGUGAGCCGUUACCUCACCAACCAGCUAAUCCGACAUAGGCUCAUCCGAUAGCGCGAGGCCCGAAGGUCCCCCGCUUUCCCCCGUAGGGCGUAUGCGGUAUUAGCCUGGGUUUCCCCAGGUUAUCCCCCACUACCGGGCAGAUUCCUAUGCAUUACUCACCCGUCCGCCGCUCGCCACCAGGGAGCAAGCUCCCCGUGCUGCCGCUCGACUUGCAUGUGUUAGGCCUGCCGCCAGCGUUCAAUCUGAACCAGAUCAAACUCUGA